UGUCCCCUGGCAAUGGGCAAAGGGACACCUUGCUGGUGGUGGUGGUCUUCUAUCAGUCAGGGGCAGAGCAGAUGGCAGUCCUCUGUUCAUCCUGGCUUGAUGCCUUGCUUGGUGACCAAAGCUGUUUUUUUGCCUAGAACACAUAA